rnacentral:rRNA from 1 species
GAUGAACGCUGACAGAAUGCUUAACACAUGCAAGUCUUUGGCGAAUCUGUGCUUGCACAGGCUAGCCAAGGCGGACGGGUGAGUAACGCGUAAAGAACUUGCCCUGCAGACAGGGAUAACAGACGGAAACGACUGAUAACACCUGAUACAGUUGCCGGCACGCAUGUGCCUGGCAAUGAAAAGAGAUGCUGCAGGAGAGCUUUGCGUCCUAUUAGCUUGUUGGUGAGGUGACGGCUCACCAAGGCGAUGAUAGGUAGCCGGCCUGAGAGGGUGAACGGCCACAAGGGGACUGAGAUACGGCCCUUACGCCUACGGGAGGCAGCAGUGGGGAAUAUUGGACAAUGGGGGCAACCCUGAUCCAGCAAUUCUGUGUGCACGAAGAAGGUUUUCGGAGUGUAAAGUGCUUUCAGCAGGGAAGAAGAAAGUGACGGUACCUGCAGAAGAAGCGACGGCUAAAUACGUG